CAGUAAGUAACUUAAAAUAAGUAUUGAUCUCUUAAAUCAAAUUAUAGUAAUUAAUGACUACUUUUACUGA
rnacentral:tRNA from 1 species